CCUCUCUCAAAGUAUAGGGAUAGGGUUUGUGCCGAAGAAUUCAUGGGUGUAGGGAAUUCUCAGAAUGCAUUUUCUCCAAGGAUCACUGAUUAUGGAGUUGGAAGAGACUCUGUGAGGUUAUCUUAUCCAAUUAAAAUCACUGGCUGUGAGAACUGGAAGGGACCUUGGGGAACAGCAAGUUAUGGGAACACAGAUUCAGCCAUGGAAGGGACUCUUCAGGUUAUCUAAUACAACCCUCUCAUUUUACAAAUGGGGAGACUGAGGCCUAGAAAGGUGAAGGGACUUGCUCAGGAUCACCUGGAUAAAGCAGUAGUGGAGGGACCAGAUUUGGGGAAGCCAAUGGCCCAAGAUCACACAGCCACUUGGUGGCCAAGACAAGACUAGAAGAGGUACCCUCUGAUUCUGUGUUGAAGUCUCUUUCUGCCAUGCUGCCUUGCCUUGGUUGCUGUUCCAAUCGGCCCUCUUCCAACUACAGAGAAGGCAAGCAAUAGGAUAUCAAUUAU